rnacentral:lncRNA from 1 species
UGAACCACCACCCAUAUGGGAUGCCGGCACUGCAGAUGGCGGCUUUACCCGGCUACGCCACAGCACUGACUGGGUUUUCUCACAGCAGAGCUCCCCUGAGUGCACAUUCAGGGGAAACAACAGGUCCUUGUUCAGCGAGUCACAAUGGAGGAUUGUAGGGACGAAUGGGGCACCUUGGUCUGCUGGGGAUUCCCUUUGAAAUCCUGCUAGGGUUUGAGCCCUGGGAGGAGGGGGUAACCUACACUUAUCUCUCCAGAGAGUCUGAGUGGCAGUUGGAGCCACUAUCUCUCCCCUCACUAUCUCCGAAGCCCUGCCCUGGAUUCCCUGUGACUCAGCCUGAGUCGGUGAUAUUAAGAAAACAGACCGUGUAAUUACCCUUUCAUUCGAAUGCCUUGCUGCCCAUUCCAGAUGCAUGAGCAGCAGAUACACAGUUUAUAGAGAGCAGGGUCCUCUGCUGCACACAAGUGCGUGUCGAUUCUCUGCAUCUUCACCUGGAGACCACCGACUCAGACUCGGAGCUCCAGAUACCGAUUUCUUGCUCAGACGACUUCAGUUCACAGCGCCUUUCAUGGGGCCACUUUCUCAGAGCAGCUAUCUCCCAGCCUGGCCACAGAGUCCCCGAAGAGAGGCUGAGCCCACCCAGGACUGCCGGGACCCUGUGUGCUUCUCUGUGAAGUUGGGUAAGAAGCCCUUCUCUGCCAGGGGGCCCUUAUCAGCUCCACAGAGGCCAGGACAGCUGUUCACCAGCUGGUCACUUAGCAGGAAGCCCCGGGAAUAGAGAAGUGAGAACCUAACUGUGUGCACAGCCGCCCUGACCAUGGCCGGAAAACCGCAAGUGGAAAGAGAAAAACUGCUCUGAGAAACUCUUUGAGAACUUGCAGUAAGUGACAGGAUCAGUACUAGUGUUGCAUUUCCUUACCUGAAUUAAAACACACACACACACACACACACACACUCAGACAUGUACACUCACACACAGACACACACAUACACCCACAUAGACACACACAGACACACAGUCACAGACACACACACUCACACACAGACACACAUGUAUGUACUUCUUUUCUGUUUAACUCCAGAGACCUCUCUCCUUUGCUGGCCCGUGGUUCUGAGUCUUACCAAGGGCUUAGUAGAUUG